CAGUGUCCUCGUUCUUUAUUGGUCCUCGACGGACCGCCCAUCGGACUUUUAUUGGUCCAUUUGAAAGGCCUGUGGGCACGCGCCGCCCGCAGCCUUAAAGGGGCCGCGCGCAGCCGUGUUUCCCUCUGGACCAGACGCCGCCUGCACGGGUGGGGACGCUGGUCGCUGCCGGGGGCAAGUCUGCCGACUCCAGAAAGAAAGGCGAAAGAAUAGAUUGUGAAGCUAAGUGCUGUGAGGGAAACCAGAGGCAGCUGAGAUGUCGUGGAAGUAACAGCGAAUGAAGCCAGGAUGCUGGAUUCUGACCUUGGAACUGUUCUGAGUAAAUCACUUUUCUCAGUAAAUCUUCUGGAGUUGUUUCCUUAUCUGUAAAAUGGGAUAACGAUGUUUCCCUUACAAUUUAAUGGAGGAGUUAAUAUAACUAAUAGAAUGUCUGAGAAAAGCCUUUGUGAACUGUAACGCAUCCUGCAAAUGCUUAAUAUUCCCUUAUAAAAACGAGAGGCUUGGUUAACAUGAUCUCCAGAAUUUUAGCUUAGCUCUACAUUCAGUGUUUCUGUGAAUGAGUUCAGGUCCUUACUUCCAAGGAAUUUGUAAUCUACAGUGGUUGGAGGAAUAUAACAUACAGACUAGUCACUAAAAUUCAAAGCAGUGUAAUAACUGUAUAAAUGAAAAGCUAUAAAUGCUUAGAGACAGGAGAAAUUUGAUGGGGGAGGAUCUGUGAGGAAGAUGAAUUUUUAACCUAGGAUUUAAAGAAUGUGUAGAUUCCCAACAGGCUAAAAGAUGGAGAGAGGAUGGAUAAAAGUAAAUGAAACAAUUACAUGUUUUUUCAUUGUCAAGUUGGCAGAGAUGAAAAAG
rnacentral:lncRNA from 10 species